AUGGCAAGAGUCUACAGUUCAACAUGUAAGCAUAAUAGUUCCUAUUGCAUCUCCUCACUAACUGUUAUUUCAAGGCACAUUUCUAACACUCCCUUGCUGUCUCAUUAGUCUUUUGAGUUAAAAGAUGAACCCAACUGGUGACUUGAAAUUUAAAAUUUUAUUUCCCAGUUUGCUUUUUAUGAUUCAAGAACUCAAGCUUUAUUGUAACUAGUAAAUUACUCGUGCGAUGCAUAAAUAAUUUCAUAAUGUUUCACACACAUAUCCUUUAUAAUUAUUCAAUUGAAGUAAUGAGAAAUAAAAAAAAAAAAUUUAGAGGAAUAUUAUAGAAUAAAAGUUAACAUAGAAUGUGUCUUUUUCAUUUUCCUUAAUUCUAAAACAAAAUACAUAUCCCAAACACUCACAAACAAUCACAUCAUUUACAAAACUUACAAAUCUACAAUGUCCGACCUUAACAUCAAAAUCGUAAUUGCCAUUGUCAUUCAAUAUAAAGUGCAAACUCCUCUUUCUUGGGUGUAGCCAACUCUUAUGGGUUAGGAUUAGAUGAGACAACAAUGUUAGAGCUAGGUAGGAGUUGUUAAAAUAUUGAAGGUAAAUGAUAUCGUUUUUGGUCUAUGUGCAGUUGACAUGGGAUGGCAUGAAGGGUUAUGAGUAGGUAUAUAUAUAUAAAAGGGUAGAAGUGUAAGAGGUGAAAAUGGUGAAUUAAAACGCAAAAAGUUUUGUGUGCAUGUGUGAGGGAUGAAAAAUCUUGAAACAUACAAAGAAUAUUUAUUUGUUAAUUAUAAAAGCCUUGAAACAUUGAACCAAAUGAAACAAAAAGUCAAAAAUUUAAUUUGUUUUUAUCUCUAAAGUGGCAUUUGAGAAUAUUUCAAUUCAUUUUGCAUAGAACGCGCCACUUGGUAGAACCUUAUACUUUCUCAUGAGGUCUCUACUUUUAUAUAUAUAUAUAUAUAUAUUUGAUUGAUUGAUUUGAAUAGUGAAUAUAUUUUUCAUAUCUUUUGAUAUUUUAUUGUUUUAAGUACUUUUAUAUUUGCAUGACUUCAUUCUCUGAUUCUCUUAAAAUUUUCCACUCAGUUGCUAUGGUGGGAUGACGAUGACAAAUGAAUUAACAGUUAUAAAUCAGAUACUCUGUGAAGCAAGAAAUAAUUUCUUGCUUAAAGAAAUCACCCUUAGUGGCGGCCCUGUAAGUUUUUGAUGGCAGUGGGAUGCUUUGUUGCAUUGUACAAAACUUAAAUGUACUCCAGUGGGCAGCGCCCCAUUUUUUCUGUGUCACAAUGUGUGCCUGACUUGUGCAUUUUUCCUCACUUUGAUGUUCCAUUUUAUUGUGAUUAUUAAUUAAAAAAAAAAUUUGGGUUUCUCCAUUUGGAUAUAAAACUUGGUUUUUUUCUUCUUCUAAUCUUUUUUUUUUUUUUUUGGGGAUAAAUUUGAUAGUUAUAGUGGGGGGUUGUUUUGAACCCUAGAUGUCUUCGUUGGAAACACCAAGAGGUUCCAAUUGAGCUUCAAGGAUCUUGGCUUCUCUUCUUCUAUUCUAUUUUACAGUUUUAUGGUUCCUUAACUUCUGAAAGGUCAAUUGGCAAAUUAGGGAAUCUUUGUAGUUUAUGGUGAUGGGUUUUAGGUUGCUAAUCUUAUUAUUAUUAUUAUUAUUAUUAUUCUUAUUCUUACUAUUAUUUUUUCCAAAUGAUUUGUAGCUGAUACUAGCACCAAAUAUAAGAUAAUAUGGAAAGCAAAUGAUUCCUACUGAAAAUCAGCCCUCAACUAAAUUUUAAAAUUUAGGAUUUUGUUUUCCUGUUCUGCGGACUCUUGGAUUUCAAUGAAGCAGUUUCUUGCAUCUCAUUAUUUAUUUUGUGCAGUGCUAUAUAUGGCCGGAUUAGUUUCUUAAUAUGUUUUUGCCAUCUUCAUAAUAUAUAUUGUUGCUUGUAACCUUGAAGAGUUGAGACAUAUGAGUUGUGCCCUUGGCUUUAUUCCUUUUUGUUCCUCACCUCCGAACUCUAACAUUUAAAAUCCUUUUCUAUGCGUCGACUAGUUGAUUUGAGCUGUUUUUCUAUCUAUAGCUUAUUGCUUUUCUGCUGGUACGGAACCAUUUUGGAUUGUUUGUCUUAGUUGGGCAUAAUGUAGUAAGUUAUAAUAUAAUGGUUAAUUGUAUAUACAGGAACAGGAAGAGAGAAGCCUGAUUACUUGGCUACAGUGGACACAGAUCCAAGCUCUCCUACUUAUUCAAAAGUUAUCCACAGGCUGCCUGUGCCUUAUUUAGGUGAUGAACUACAUCAUUCAGGGUGGAAUUCAUGUAGCUCUUGCCAUGGAGAUCCCUCAGCAGAUCGACGCUUUCUGAUCCUACCUUCACUAGUGUAUGAGUAAAUUUUAUUUUACAUUAAUGAAUCUUUGCAUACAUAAAUACAUACGUAGGUUCAUGUGUAUAUACAUAAAUACAUGCGCACACGCAUUGUUUGGUUAAGCACUGACCAUUUAUUGAUUAGAGGGGUAGGCAGGUGCUCCAACAUAAAUAGGUAGAAAAAUAAUGUAAGCACAAGCUUUAGAGGCUAUACUUUAUUUGGAACUUGCUAUGAAAAUGCUGGUAAAUUACCUGUCUAGAAACUGAUUCAUUCUUGCUAAAUUGAUUCUAUAAAUGAAGUUGUGAAUGAAAAUUUGAUUAAUGUAGAUGUGGUUCUUGUUAUUGAAAUAUUACUCAAAUUAUGAACUAUUACAUUUUGAACUCACAAUUCAACAGUCUGAAGUCCACUUUCUGUGGUAGUCGUGGAUGCGUUUGAAAAAAUGAACAUACAUAAGAUUAUGGAUAAUGACUUUGCAGUUAGGCAAGCAGUCAAAUUGCAUGUCUUGUCUUGACUUGUGCUUAGGUUUGAUCUGGUGUUUGCAGCUCACUGAUUUCAUAUUUAAAAAAAUAAAAAAAAGGUAAACUCACUAUCCAAUAAGAUGGUAAUUCCAUUGCUUAAUAGGUGUAUGCUAAUGACUUCACAGUAAACUCAAGAUGAUUUCUUUAUUUAAUAACUUAUUAUUGGUUCUCUAGUGUUCUUUAAUUUAGUUUCACUAGCAGUAUCAAACUCUUGAACUUCACUGGUAUAGGUGGAUUAGAAAAUUAUGGAUCAGGUUGGAUACUUUAUAUUUAUUAUUAUUUGAAUAUCCCCACAAAAGAAACACAAUCGAUACUUUUAACUUUUGAGAAUUAUUAACACGCCUCCUAAGAAAGAAAGAAAAUUGUCUGGUAUUGUACUUUUUGGUGUUUUCUUCUACUUCCAAUGGAUUGGUGCUGUAUGAUGGAUAUAUGCCUUUAAAAUGCUGAGGAAGCAUUUAUAAUGACUUCAUUUCCGUAAGAGGCCUAAUGUAGCCUUUUUUGUAAUUUCUGUUCUUUUUGUCAGAAGCUAUGAUUACUAGUAUUGAUGGUUCAUCAUUUGAAGAGGUGCAUUAACUGUUGGUAAUAUAUUCCUUAAUAAGUCAAGCCUUUUCAGAUCUGGUCGCAUAUAUGUGAUUGACACAAAAACCAAUUCCAAGGCUCCAUCACUGCAUAAAGUUGUUGAGCCUGAAGAUAUUGUUCAGAAGACUGGUUUGGCUUAUCCACACACAUCCCAUUGCCUUGCUUCUGGAGACUUACUGGUGUCAUGCCUUGGUGAUAAAGAUGGAAAUGCUGCAGGGAGUGGCUUUCUUCUUCUUGAUUCUGAGUUUAAUGUCAAAGGAAGGUACUGUUCUGAGACAUACAAAUAAAUCUAAUCUUUUACUGUUAGCAAACUAGUUUUAAAUCACGUAUCUAUGUAUCCAAUUUUAGCACAAUUCGUUAUAUUUAUUAAUGGAAACAAUAUAUCAAAUUUAAAGACAAGAUUGACAAUACACAAGUAAUAUUGGAAAUCUAUUUAAAUAUUCACGGAGAUGGUGACAGUUUAAUAGCAUGAUUGAAUUCCUGGCAUUGUAAAUUGAGCAUGUUUACUGUAGAUUUGAUUACGAUGUAACCUUAAAACUCCCUUUACAUCUACCAGGUGGGAGAAACCAGGGCACAGUCCACUUUUUGGCUAUGAUUUCUGGUACCAACCACGACACAAGACAAUGAUAAGCUCCUCAUGGGGUGCCCCUGCUGCUUUCUCUAAAGGUUUCAACCUUCAGCAUGUUUCUGAUGGUCUUUAUGGGAGGCAUCUGCAUGUGUACAGCUGGCCAGGUGGUGAACUGAAACAAACAUUGGAUCUUGGCAGUACAGGGAUCUUACCUUUGGAGGUGAGUGCAUAGACAAUCUACGGUCUGGUUUCCUACAUCUAGAGUAUGGCCAACGUGAUUAUUUGUUAAUUUAUAUAUUUUUUCUUUUAAUCAGAACAUAAUAAGUCUGGAUCUAUUUUUGUCUCAAUGUAACCCUUUUGCAGAUAAGGUUCCUGCAUGAUCCUUCGAAAGAUACAGGGUUUGUUGGUUGUGCCUUGACAAGUAACAUGGUGCGAUUUUUUCAGACCCAAGAUGGCUCUUGGAGCCAUGAGGUAUGCACAUAAGAUAUUUAUAUAUGUCUGUAUGUUAGCGUGCCAUAUUGUGUUCACCUUGUAAUUUGCUCUGUAUUGUCUUUUUAUUUGAGGCAUUGAUUAAUAUUUGUAGAUUGCAAUAUCAGUGAAGCCAUUGAAGGUGCAAAAUUGGAUUCUUCCAGAAAUGCCUGGGCUUAUAACUGAUUUUCUGAUCUCUCUUGAUGAUCGUUUUCUGUAUUUUGUGAACUGGCUGCAUGGGGAUGUGAGGCAGUAUAACAUUAAGGACCCUAAGAAUCCUGUAUUGACAGGCCAAGUAUGGGUUGGGGGACUAAUUCAAAAGGGAAGCCCAAUAGUGGCCGAGGGAGAAGAUGGAAAAACAUGGCAAUUUGAUGUUCCAGAGAUCCAGGUUUGUAUGAACUCCAUUGUAAAAGUUAAAACUCUUUCUGAGCUAUAGCUUAUUGCUGCCUAAUUGAUGAUUGAUUGGGUGCUUUUAGUAACAAUUCCGAAUGCUGCUUAUGUGCAAUUUAGAUAUCAGUUAAAACAGUUCCUGCACUAGAAGUAUUUCACACAGGGAUGCAUCAGAUAAUCUGUUUGGUUCUUUCUGCUUCUGAUUUACAUCAUGAUUCUAUAAAAAAAGAUGUAUUAUUAAUCUACUGAGUGCUUUAUUCAUUAUCUGGUGACCAUCAAUCAUUAUCAUUUAGUAAUAGAUGCACAUGGACCACCUAAACCUCGAUGUGAUAACACUAUACACUAUGUGAGUGGCUAGACAUCGUAUAAGUGACCUGUUAUAUAUUCCUCACUCGAGUGCCUUUAUCCCAUAUAGGUAUAUGCCUAGUUCAGCUAGACGCCUAGACCAUUCGUUUGAUAGGCUGUAGAAAAAUAAUACUAUUUGAGCAUCUUCCUAUCUCUGAUGUUACAUGUUAGUGUUCCACAACAUUUUUUAAUUCACACGUAUUUCCACAAUACUUAAACAAUGUUAUUAGAAAUCUCAUUCCAAACGGGCUAAUCACUCAAACUAAGACAGUACUUUUGCUCCAUGUAGUUCCCUUAAUUUAAUAUGUUGUUCGCUUCAUAUUUUCCUUUCAGGGAAAUCAAUUAAGAGGGGGGCCUCAAAUGAUCCAAUUAAGUUUAGAUGGGAAGAGACUUUAUGUCACCAACUCACUCUUCAGUACAUGGGAUCGUCAAUUUUAUCCUGAUCUUGUAAAGAAAGGGUCUCACAUGUUGCAGAUUGAUGUUGAUGCACAGAAAGGUGGUCUGAAAAUAAACCCCAAUUUUUUUGUGGAUUUUGCUGCUGAACCUGAUGGUCCUUCCCUAGCCCAUGAGAUGAGAUAUCCUGGUGGUGACUGCACUUCAGAUAUAUGGAUCUAA
rnacentral:sRNA from 1 species